UACAGAGGGUGCGAGCGUUAAUCGGAAUUACUGGGCGUAAAGAGUGCGUAGGUUGUAUGAUAAGUUGGAUGUGAAAGCCCUGGGCUCAACCUAGGAACUGCAUCCAAAACUAUCAAACUAGAGUAUAGGAGAGGGUAGUGGAAUUUCCGGUGUAGCGGUGAAAUGCGUAGAUAUCGGAAGGAACACCAGAGGCGAAGGCGACUACCUGGACUAAUACUGACACUGAGGCACGAAAGCGUGGGUAGCAAACAGG
rnacentral:rRNA from 1 species